rnacentral:tRNA from 1 species
GGUUUUUUAGUUUUAAAAAAAAACCUUUAAUUGCAAAUUUAAGAAAUAAAUUGGGUUUAUUAAGAUUU